rnacentral:rRNA from 1 species
AAAUAGCACUUUGCAGAGAGAGUUAACAGGGCGUGAAACCGUUAAUUGGCAAACGAAUCGGAGCCACGAAGUCGUUUCGUUGAUUAGCCUAGGGUUUUAGUUCAAUCUUGGAGAGCUUUAACAGAGCCUUCUAAGGUGUAUUCUAUAACUUGGCCAAUCCUUGUAAGCGUACACUGCAACCAGUUAGACAAUUGGCUAUGGGCCCAGUUUGUUAUUCAAGUUAGUAGUAGUGUGGCACGAACCUUGCGUUUGUGUUUCAUAUUGCUGGACUUGCUUAUAAGUGAACUAUGGCCAAAUACUGACUGGAACAAUGAAAAUCACCACCAUCAUGUGGUGUUUUAUAAAAUGCCGCUAGUUAUAUAGAGAGUCUACAUCUGUGACCAUGAGGUUUCAAGCUCAGCGUUUUCGAAUUUGGACUUGCUCGCUACCAAUUGGGGCAACCCUUGGUGCUUGUAUAGCUUCCAUCUAAUCAGGCGUUGACUUAAUCUUGUGUUUAGUUCAUCAGAUGCUACGCUAAGACUUUUAUCAUAAACUAGGUUGGCCACUUUUAAUUGGCAGUGAGUAGGUCGGCUUUCCGAACGACCCGUCUUGAAACACGGACCAAGGAGUCUAAUUAGGCAUCAAGUCGAUCGGUCUUGAAUAGGCCAGACUGUGAGCGGUGCUCCAAUAAAGGCGUAGAGAAAUCAUGUGAUCACUCAGACUAACCAGUCCCAAUGCGCAACAUGUGCCUGUUCGUAUAGUAACUGUAGCAAUAAUUACUGGGCGGAGCAAAGAGAUGCCUGAUUGGUACCCGAAAGAUGGUGAUGCUUGGGCAAAUUGAAGCCAGAGGAAACUCUGGUGGAGGAUUGUAGCGAUUCUGACGUGCAAAUCGAUCGUCAGACCUGAGUAUAGGGGCGAAAGACUAAUCGAACCAUC